rnacentral:rRNA from 1 species
UACGUAGGGUGCGAGCGUUAAUCGGAAUUACUGGGCGUAAAGCGUGCGCAGGCGGUUUUGUAAGACAGGCGUGAAAUCCCCGGGCUCAACCUGGGAAUGGCGCUUGUGACUGCAAAGCUGGAGUGCGGCAGAGGGGGAUGGAAUUCCGCGUGUAGCGGUGAAAUGCGUAGAGAUCUGGAGGAAUACCGGUGGCGAAGGCGGCCCC